UACGUAGGGUGCGAGCGUUAAUCGGAAUUACUGGGCGUAAAGCGCGCGCAGGCGGGUCAUCAAGUCAGAGGUGAAAUCCCAGAGCUCAACUCUGGAACUGCCUUUGAAACUGGUGACCUUGAGUACGGGAGAGGUGAGUGGAAUUCCCAGUGUAGAGGUGAAAUUCGUAGAUAUUGGGAAGAACACCGGUGGCGAAGGCGGCUCACUGGCCCGUAACUGACGCUCAGGCGCGAUAGCGUGGGGAUCAAACAGG
rnacentral:rRNA from 1 species